GACGAACGCUGGCGGCGUGCCUAAUACAUGCAAGUUGAGCGCUGAAGGAUGGUACUUGUACCAACUGGAUGAGCAGCGAACGGGUGAGUAACGUGUGGGGACUCUGCCUUUGAGCGGGGGACAACAUUUGGAAACGAAUGCUAAUACCGCAUAAAAACUUUAAACACAAGUUUUAAGUUUGAAAGAUGCAAUUGCCUCACUCAAAGAUGAUCCCGCGUUGUAUUAGCUAGUUGGUGAGGUAAAGGCUCACCAAGGCGAUGAUACAUAGCCGACCUGAGAGGGUGAUCGGCCACAUUGGGACUGAGACACGGCCCAAACUCCUACGGGAGGCAGCAGUAGGGAAUCUUCGGCAAUGGACGAAAGUCUGACCGAGCAACGCCGCGUGAGUGAAGAAGGUUUUCGGAUCGUAAAACUCUGUUGGUAGAGAAGAACGUUGGUGAGAGUGGAAAGCUCAUCAAGUGACGGUAACUACCCAGAAAGGGACGGCUAACUACGUG
rnacentral:rRNA from 1 species